CAACCAAGAAGAGACAAGGGAAGGGGCCAGAUGAAGGUUCUGCCACCAAGAGGAAGACUUUGACAUUUAAAAAAUUCUCCAUCUCUCUCCAAGUGUCCCAUCCCCAACUCAGAAAUAAUAAUAAUGAAAAACCCAUGAAGGGAACAUUAGUAUGUUGCAGAUGAAGACACUGAGGCUUGGAGAACUUUAAUUGCCCAAAGAGCUUCUCACACCUGGUAAGUGGCAGAAGGAUUGGAAAGCCAGUGUUCCUGAUUCCAAAUUUCUACGCUUAACCCGGCUUCACGCUGCUUCCGCUCAACCACCUUUAAAGUCUCCUAGCUGUCCACCAAAUGAGUUCAAAAUUAUCUCACAGACUCUCAAGACCCUUGAAAGCCUGGUCUCCAUCUGCUUCUGCAAUCUCAUCUCCCAGUGAUGCCCUCCUAGAAUCCUCCAUGGCAGUUGCCGUGGACUCCCAGGUUGAAGGUCACAUAACCUUAGCAUGCCCAGAUAAACCAAGUAUGCAACCACAAGGGGAACCUAAGUGCUCAGACCAAGGAGCAGGAACUGAAUUAAGACACGGACACCACAUGGCAGAAUCCAAGAUCCAAUCAGAUCGAGCUCUGGAAUCACCCCACAGUGGAAGCCAGUCAGAUCAUUCCUCUUGGCAUCACCUCAUUGCAAGAUCCAAUCAGAUCACGUCUCAUUACCCUAUCCUUAUAAAACCGGACAGACCUCACCUCAGGAAGGCACUGCUUUGGG